UACGUAGGUGGCAAGCGUUGUCCGGAAUUAUUGGGCGUAAAGCGCGCGCAGGCGGUUUCUUAAGUCUGAUGUGAAAGCCCACGGCUUAACCGUGGAAGGUCAUUGGAAACUGGGAGACUUGAGUGCAGAAGAGAAGAGCGGAAUUCCACGUGUAGCGGUGAAAUGCGUAGAGAUGUGGAGGAACACCAGUGGCGAAGGCGGCUCUUUGGUCUGUAACUGACGCUGAGGCGCGAAAGCGUGGGGAGCGAACAGG
rnacentral:rRNA from 1 species